ACUAAUGUUGUAGUUAGAUGUCACCAAUGUUCGUGAACUUGAAGAUUUUCUUAUCAAUGAGUGCAUGUAUGCGGGUAUAGUCAGAGGAAAGUUGGAUCAGCUGCGAAGAUGUUUUGAGAUCCAAUUUGCUGCUGGGAGGGAUUUGAGACCAGGACAACUUGGGAGUAUGAUAGAAACACUGUCGAACUGGUAACAUCUCUGGUUCAA